rnacentral:rRNA from 1 species
GCAAGUCGAGCGGACAGAUGAGAGCUUGCUCCCUGAUGUUAGCGGCGGACGGGUGAGUAACACGUGGGUAACCUGCCUGUAAGACUGGGAUAACUCCGGGAAACCGGGGCUAAUACCGGAUGCUUGAUUGAACCGCAUGGUUCAAUUAUAAAAGGUGGCUUUUAGCUACCACUUACAGAUGGACCCGCGGCGCAUUAGCUAGUUGGUGAGGUAACGGCUCACCAAGGCAACGAUGCGUAGCCAACCUGAAAGGGUGAUCGGCCACACUGGGACUGAAACACGGCCCAAACUCCUACGGGAGGCAGCAGUAGGGAAUCUUCCGCAAUGGACGAAAGUCUGACGGACCAACGCCCCGUGAGUGAUGAAGGUUUUCGGAUCGUAAAACUCUGUUGUUAGGGAAAAACAAGUACCGUUCGAAUAGGGCGGUACCUUGACGGUACCUAACCAAAAAGCCACGGCUAACUACUUGCCAGCAGCCGCGGUAAUACGUAGGUGGCAAGCGUUGUCCGGAAUUAUUGGGCGUAAAGCGCGCGCAGGCGGUUUCUUAAGUCUGAUGUGAAAGCCCCCGGCUCACCCGGGGAGGGUCAUUGGAAACUGGGGAACUUGAGUGCAAAAAAGGAAAGUGGAAUUCCACGUGUAGCGGUGAAAUGCGUAAAGAUGUGGAGGAAACCAGUGGCGAAGGCAACUCUCUGGUCUGUAACUGACGCUGAGGCGCGAAAGCGUGGGGAGCGAACAGGAUUAGAUACCCUG